UUACAGGCAUUUUUAAUGAUUCCAAGGGAAGAUGAGACUCAGAUGGCCAGUAAUGAACCCAGCCCAAAGCUGCCCCGACUUGGAGAGGUUGCCACUUUGCCUGGAAGCAUUAUAUUUCCUUGGUGUAGGCUCAGUAGUUCCCUUCCAUGCUGAAGAGGAGGAAGAAAUUUCCACCUGCUGGACCAGCACAAGCCAAGACCCAAACUGAACAAAGAACAGCCAGUGUAUUCAAGGAUAUGUAAAUCCUUCUCCCCCAGCCUUGGGAAGUUUAUUGCCCUCAACAAAGUACACAGUGUGGUUGUCAUUCCUGAGGAGCCCAGGUGGGCUUUUAUGUGACAAGGGAAAAUUACCCAGGCUGUUCUCCAGAAGGCAAAACAGACACUUGGUAGCAGCAAGUGCUGGUGCAUCUGGAAAUACAGUGAGAAGCGGGCUGAAGGGAGGAGACCACCUACUCAUCCACAAAACAGUGAGCUGCUGGUGGUGGGGACAGGUCCUCUCCUCCUGAGUGGACCUUGGUGACCAAAUAGGUUUAUUUCUCUUCCAUCUCUAGGAGGCCACAGAUGGAUAGAAAUAGUUUCUGAGUCCCUUAGGACAAUCUAGGACUUGGAAGGUCCUUUCUGAUAUUUUCAUCUGGAUUUUUCUCCUCUUUCAAAUGAAGUGUUUUCUUCCUGAUGGUUUGAGAUUCCCCCACAUUUGGAUCUUCGUGUUUCCAUGUCUGGUCAGUGUGGCUCAGUCUCUGGAUCUUACCAGGAAUGUCGUCUGUAUUAAAGACAGGCGAAAGUUCAGAGUGUCAGCAGUGGUCAAGGAAUGAACCAGGACUCCAGUGCCCUCCCUCACCCCUCCAUUGGAUGACUUUUCUUCUGGAGAAUUGGGAAGUAGAUUAGGAAGGGGUGUUGCUCCAGCAGCAGGAGAGGUUUGGACUGCCAUAGCCUGCUCUUUACACAACAAGCUGCUCUGUGGCCCCUAGACAACUCCAUGCUGGUUGGUCAGAUUUGAUCUAAUGGCAAAAUUUAGGCCUGGAGGAUGAGUAGGUCUUGUAUGCUCCUGAAACUCUGACAAAGAGAAAAAGCAGCCAGAUCAGCAGGAAGACAUGGUGGGCUUGUUCCCAGCCUUCUGCUCUUCCCAUGAAAUAUGCACAGUGCCAUACCCUCCCCACCCCAACUUCCCUCUGCAGUUAUCUGGGCUGGGGAGAACACAGGAGACAUGGUGGCAGCCUCAACCACCAUCAUGGAUAAAGAAAUCUGGGAAGGUGAUGAAAGACAAGAAGGUGGGGAAACUAUGGGUGCAGUGUGUUGAUACAGAUUUCCUUUGGGACCCCUGGACCUGAUGUUUCUGUUUUCGAGGCUGUUGCUUUGUCUUCAUGUUAUUGCAACACACACUUGUGUCUUGGGACAGCAACUGAUGGAUGCAAAGGGCAGGAAGAGGGGUCUUCCUCUGUUGCCUCUUGUUAGAGUUAAAACUCAUGAUGAUCGUGACCAAUCUUUGUCCCCCCAGGACUGACCCAGUGGUCUCUUUCCCUGCGGCUUCCACCAGCUCGAGCUGAUGUCACUGUCACUCAAUUGUCUCGGUGGCUGGGGAGGAAAAAUCUCUUCCCCGUGUACAAGCUGAGACCCGUCUUGUGUCAGCUGAACGCAGUCUGCUGCCUUCAGCCCCUUGGAGCCCCUGCCUGCCUCUCACUAGCCCAGCCUGGAUUUGGCAUUCACUGUCAGGUACCUGCUUUCUGCAUUCAGAGUAUGGAAAGUGUCAGCCCAGCAUUUCCCGCUCAGCUCCUAGGGACAAAGCAGGUCAUGACUUAUGCGUUUUAUCAUUAAAAAGAUAAUUUCCUCUAGAUGUGUGCAAUAAGACAAUGGCACUGACCUGUGAUCCUGGCAUUGCACAGCAUUAAUGAUUUCCCUUUGCAGGUAAUAAGCAGCAAAUGUACACAUUUUGGGGAGAUGUGAUUUUUUUUUUUUUUUUUUAAUUCUUUUUUUCCUUUUAAGACUGCUGUCUUCCUAGGCCAGACUUAAUUAGCAGACCUCAUUAUUUCCUCAAAUGUAACUUGACUUCCAUUGAAUGAGAAUUGUUCAGUGGAUGGGGAGCAGCAGAGCGGUGCUGCAAUAUUCAUAUUGUUUUAAUUGCAACAUUAACAUUUCAUGCCGCUCUUGGCAUACUUUCAGGUGCGGCCCUUUAGCUCAAUGCAAUGCUGUGAAAGGUUGGAUCAGAACAAUUAGGAUAGAGUGACUGGAUUUCUGGAUUUUCUUUUUUGUUUUUAACAAACACAAACCUGGAUGCAAUCCCCAUCACUCCUUUUGUUGGGCAGAACAGGGAGUCAAGCACCCGUGAAGUGUAAAUCCUUUUUUGGAAUAAAGGAUGUGCUGUAGCGCAUGUUUAAAUUCGCUUUUUGCAGAGCUGAAGCCCUGCAGGUACAAGACAUACAUGAUCCUCUGGGCUGAUGGCACCUCCUGGGACUUGACCUUUACUGGGUGAAUCAGAGAAGUCCCAAAAUACGACUGGCCAGCUGGGCCAUCAUCACAUACGAAGUGGAGAGAAAAAGGCUAUUUCCCACUUCUCAAUUACUUCCAGGGCUCUAGGAUGCCUGAGGCUGGAAAUGGCACUGCAAACAGAUAACGACAGGGUCAGUGCAGAUCCUAAAUGAGCACAGGGAUUACCCUGCUCAGUCCCCAAACUGUACAUGGAGUUUGGCUUUCUUGCAGCAGUGUCAGACAGCACUGAAAUGCUGGGCUCAGCCUUAGCAAGCUCCGUUCGCCUUUGCUGCCUUGCCAUGUACCAUACACUUGCCGCUAAUCAUUCCUGUACCGGAGAGCAGCGAUGAGGGGAGUUCCUGGCAAGAGCAACUCCAGGUUCCACCCUGGAACAGCCUAAUGAGGGUCUUCUAAUUGGGUCAUUGAAAGGAGGUGAGGAAGAAAGGCCAGUCAGCAGCUCUAGUAAAUGGCUUCUUGGUGUUGCUCUCUGAAGGCUGUAUUGCACUGCGCAACGUGCGAGCUGUUUAAUUGACUUUUAAAGGAGAACCAAGAGGCUGUUGUGUCCCCUUCAGCCUUUAGGAUGAAGAGGAAGGGUUGGUGGGGCUCCCUCUGUCCUGCCAGGGGAAGGCUGAGCUUUGCACCCACGCUGCUGCCUGCCAGCUCUGUGCUGGCCCCGGCUUACAGAUCUGUACUGAGUCUGGUGAGUGGGUCUGGCCUUCAGCAAGGAUCUGUGUGAAGAGGGACAGGCUCCCUCUCUCUGUGCCACUAAUCAGUCAACCCACUAAUGGGUACCUUGAUGUGUGAUACUGCUGUGAGCUCCCCAGGCAGCUGCUUGGACUCUGGGCUGCCUUCCUGGCAUUUGCUGGCAGCAACCCGUGGAUGAAACGUCUUGCUGGAAGGUGAAGUCUCUGCCCAUGUGGCAGAGAGGAACAGGGAGGGUUGCAAGGGUGAGGGAGCCGCUCUGCCCAUCAGUGUUCCUCCUUGGAGUUGGGCAUGUCUCUUGCAUUUCAGGGAGCAUCUGAACUCAUCCAUAUGGCUGGGAUGGCAAUUCAAGCUGGAAAUGCAGUGGGACCUCAGCUUGGUCACUGGAAGAAUGGCAAGGGAAGAGCACACAGCCCGUUUCCGGAGGCUUUCCAAAGGCCAACAUGCCAUCUUAGCUGGCUGGCUCUCCUGUCAGCCAAGCAGGCUUGAAACCUUCUCCCAUUAGUACUGUGUGCAGUGGGAUCCAUGAAGUUUCGUCUCCUGUGGAUAUAUAGCAUGGGUUUGGAUUCUCAGCUGUGUAGUAAGCUGCUUGUGCUGAAUGGAGCAUCCCCCCUUACCAGGAUAUUUAUAGCAUCUCUCUUUCUCCCACGCAGAUUGUCUGAUGUCUAAUAAGGAAAGAUACACUGCAGUUUGGAAGGUGCUAAUAAUGUCUCUCCUCUGUUUGACAGUCUGUUCCCAUGAAAUUUAUAGACUCUGACUGUCUCCAAGACCUCUGCCUCUCUGUCAGAUCAGGUUGAAAUCUGUUUGCAGUGUCAGAAGUUGCUGGGGAGUGGGCAGAGGACAGAGUGAUGCAGCAGGAUUGCAUAUGCUGUGCACUUCCUAGGAAAUCAGGCUGAAAAUGUGCCCAGCUCUGUUUCCUGCAGAUCUGGGGGGCAGCUGUGGCUCAGAUCACCAAAUUGCAAGUUUGGGAAAGCAAGCUGCUUGUGUGGGAGGAAGGCGAUGAGCUCAGAGACUACCCAGGGGAAGAACUUCUCUGCCCCCAGCCAUCUUGCGUGGCUGCCAUGCUGCGGGCUCUUCAGGCACCUUCGAGCUGCCUGGGGCGACAAGCGCAAGUGCAGAGCGUGGCCUCUUGUGGAAAACAGCCCCUGAGGACAAUAAACGAGCAAGCCCAGAGCUCCUGGCUGGUGUGAAGAAUUGCCCAGCUAAAGGAUAAUGAAUGCCACAGCAGGAGACAGAGCAUUUCUCUGAGGCCAUUCAUCCCCUUUAUCACCCUGCUAACAAGCCCCAGAGCGACUUCAGAGAGACUUCUCUGGAGAAGCACCAUCCCUCAGCCUUGCUGAUGGCUGGGUGCUGGGGGUCAGGAAUACAUCAUGUGGCAGGAGUGCUCAGCGGGAAACCACAGACCACCCCCCCAAAUAACAGCCCCGAGUUUGAGUGUCAGCAGUAGGGACUGUGCAGUGGCUCUGGCUUUGCUGGCAUGGAGACCAUGCCCUCCUUCGGGCCAUGUGUGGUGCCACCUGAGAGAUCCGGACAUAAAAGCCAAGCAUCCAUCUUUUUAAAGUACUUUUGGGCAGCAAGGGCCCUGCAGCACCCUCAGGAGGAUUGCUCUAUCCUAACUCCCAGCUUGCCUAAGAUGUAAGAUUUAUAAGAUUUAUACAAGACCCAACAGGAGUUUGGGGCCGUCGGCACGGAGGUAAGUUGGUUCUGCUUCACUUGCAGCACAGCUGAGUCUGUGCAUGAGUCUUGUGCGAGGACGAGAGUGCAGAAGUGAUGUGCUCUUUGUAAGAGCUAAUAAAAGCUAAUUUAUCCCUUUGCUCCAAGACAGUAGGAAGCAUUAGCGGCUGGCUGAGUGCCUCCUCCACUGCAGCAGCAUGCUGGGUGCCUCUGCCUUCCCGCCGGCUGGGAGCAAAGCAUGUCCUCCUAUGGAGGGGAAGGCAUCUCUGUCAGCAAGAGCUGUGCCGUCUGCAACUGUGUCAACAGGCAGCCCGUGGUGCUGUCUGUAGCUUCUAUCUCUCCUGGGAAGAAAAAAGAGCCACAUAACCCAGGCAGGUUUAGCUGUUGGAGGAUACAUUUUGUGUGGCCCAUGGUCUCCAAGCAUUUUAAAAGGAAGCACCAUUAAAUGUCGAGUUAAAGGGAAACACAAUACAUCACCUUCCUCGUGGGCUGCCAUUCAGCCAAGAGUAACAGAGAUUAGCCUUCAAUCACACGGGGGCUGGAGCUGAAGGAAGCCUUCCCCAGGACAUGCUGGAGAAACAUUUUCAUUAGUGGAGGAGAACCUGACAGAGAUGAAGUGCCCCUUCACCUCGACUGCCGGACCUCUCCCCUGCCUGGCGUUAACAGGACAAGGAGAUGCUAACCGAGGAGCUGGUGCCAGCUGCAACACUUUAAGUGCUGUCUGCAUCCAGAUACCAUUCUUUCUUUGGGGCUGCCUGCUAUACUGCAUUAACAUCACAUCUCUGCAGUGAAGAAAUGAAGAGGAUACAACAGAGAUCAAAAUUAAAUUCUCCUCAGAGUUGCCCAGAAGGAUGGAUAACUGCAAAGAAAGAUUAUUCUAUGGCUCUGGAAAAGGAAGACCUACUUGCUUAGUAACCUGGUGAUGAGGUACUGGCUCUGCUUCAUGCAGACACUGGAAGCCAGGGGAGAUUUCGGGUUACAGAGAGGGCUGGGCAGAGUUUGCCGCCUUCUCAGCUCCUUUCCUGUAUCACUGUCAACUUAGAUUUCUCAUCAAGAGGGUGAUGUUAUGGCUGGCGGUGACAAUAACAGAAUGCCACUGGCAGAGGUGAAAUCUUUCUCUCUGUGAGGGUACUUCUUCCUUUCCCUUCCCCUUGACUUACAUCAAGAACCACUGGCUCCCAGUGCCAAGCGGGGCAUGCAUACAUGCUGCCCAAGGGAUGAUGUAUACUGUGCUGAGCAUAACUUUUCUUGCUUUGUCGGUGAACAGCUAUGUGUCAGUGAUGCCGCUUUGCUGUGUGGUGACCUGGGACAGAGGGUGAACCGUUGUCACUGUCUGAGACAAAUCGGGGCCAUUGGGAGCUGCCGUGUUUGCCAUCAUGGGCAACAUUGCACAGAGUGGUCCUUUGCCAUACUGGCACCCUCGUACCAGCAGGAGGUCUGCCAGGGAUGUCCCUUCAGAGCCCUGGGGGCCAUCCAUGUUCUUUGGGGGCCAGGCCCGAACUAAGUCAGGGUCUGGGGGGCAGACGAGCGUGUUAAUGGUUAAUGUUCUCUGCAGGCUGUCUCUCACCUCCUCUAAAUGGGAGCUAAUCUUGUAGAAGAGUGCCUGUGCCCACACUACUCCAGCAGCCCUUCUGCUCGCCUUCUGUCCUCAAGGGCCAGUUCAGCAAAGCGUUAGUGCUGAUUUGGGUCCAGCUUUCGUUUUCCAGCUGCUUACAGAGGUAGCUGCCACUGGCAGGCCACACUAGAAAACAGAGGCAGGGGACAGGCCUCUUUGUGCACUUAAAGAUCCAAGAGUUUAAUCUGAUUCUGGUUCUCUAUUAGCCCUGAUCCUGUCUUGCAUCUUUUCCGGCUGAUGCCUGAACCUGUCUUUGUUUUUUUGUUUUGUUUUUUUUUUUUUUUUUUCUUUUACCUUAUGAAAAAUGGCUUUGCCAUCUGCAUCUGUCAGGAGUCCGCCGAGCCGGUGUACAGCUCAGUGAAUAUACAAAUGUGCGGUUGGAUCGUGGCCCCCUCUGACAGGCCGGAGAUGAAUACCAAACGUGCAGGGAGAAGAGUGCGUUCCCUUCCUCUGCUGCUGCUGCCUCUGAUGGUUGUUUUUCUUAUCCCAAGGAGGUGAGAGGAUCGCCUUUGGGAGCAGUGCUUCCUUCUGCUCCUGUUCCGCCUUGCCAAGGAUCAGUUGUCUGCCAUCCAUCAUCAUCAGAGUCCUCUCCUCGCUCCCACAUCUCAGCUGCUGAUAGGAAUGCCAGGGAAGGGGUAACUGGUUUACCCUGCUUUUUCCUACCAUCCUUUACCCUCUCCCUUUUGCAUCCCACCUUCUAGGCCCAUUACAAGGCAAUCAGCAGGCUGGGGCUCGAGGACACUUGCCUUCACUUGCUUGUCCAGGUACUUUUUAAGAGAGGUAAGGAUGAGGUAGAGGGGAGGGGAUUGUUCAACCUUACCCAAGUGGCUUAAAAGGUAAUUUUGAAUGGAAUUUUUCAGCAGUGUUGUGCAUGACUCCACGUAAGAUGUGCUGAAAGCACCCAGGCACUCCUGCAUGUCUCGGCCUCACUGUGUCCCCUUUCCCUGCUGUAGGUAGGAGCCAGCGCUAUGGGGCUCUGCAGGGAGGAAUGCACCAGCUAUGAGAUCCUCAGUUGCCGUAACUCUGCAGGGUCACUCAGGUACCCAAAGGGAGAUGACAACCUGCCUUGACACCCAUGGAUUUUUUUCACCUCCUCCUGCCUCUUGGUUUUCUGCAGUCUGAGUCGCAAGCUGCUUCCCUGGCCCCGAUGUACUAAGAACCUUUCAGCCAGGUAGGCUCAGAGGAGCAGGCAGGCAGAAAAUGAAAUGAAUCUCUCCAUGCUCUUGCCACAGGUAUCUGGUCAAGGAGGGGAAGUUUCUGGGAGGGCAGACCCCCACUUUGGCAGGAGGAGAGAGCAGGCAGCUUGAGCUGAGCUGUUUUUUUGACAAGCAGAUGGAUGUUCAGCGGGGGCCCAAGAAAACCCUCUUGCUUCAGGCUAGCUGUGAGCCCUCCAAACCAAAGCAUUGUGCUGACACGAAAAAAGCAUCACUCCAUUGAUGCUCAGCCUGAAUUACCUCUUCCAGGUGCCUGAUUCAGGAUGCAGCGACUGUCCCCUCCUGCCACCGGCUCCCAGGAGGAGCCAGCUGCGUGCUUGCAACCAGACAAGGAUGCAGCAGGAGCCGCUGAGCAGCAAGGAGGGAGGAAGGCAAGCGAUGGCAGAUUCCUCUGGCGUCUCCACACCGCAGGGCUCUUGGCGAGCGAGCGCUCGUCUGCUUUGAAAGCUCUUAGUGCUCCUGCAGGUGGGAGCCAAUUUGUCUGCUUUCCUGCCCAGGUGCCAUCUGUUUGUAGGAUUGCCUGUGUGGUGGAUGAGCGCGACGGGGAUGGCGAAGGGAGGGGGCUGCCGGGGUGGGAGAGAUGAGCCUGAAACUUUCCUUGGGUAACUUCAGCACUUCUGGCUGCCGUUGCUCCCUCUCCCUUGCACCGAGGCAGGGAAAUCACAGCCUGUCAUUUGCUGUUCCUGGAGCGUGAUAGGGAGCCGAGGCACCACUAAUAGCAAGCUAUCAUUUUAAUGCUAAUUUCCUACUGUUAGCUUAGGCUGGGGGAGGCUCAGCCUGGGUGGAGGGGAGCCAUUAGCAGAUGGAGAAGGGGGGGAUGUGUGGGGAUUGUUCUGCACCCCGAGAAGGGACUUCCAGAGGGCAGAUGAUUAACCACCACUGGGAAAACUGGUAGCAGAUGCUGGGGUCAGUCUGAUGGAUGUGGGAGGGAGGGAGGGGGACACUUUGUUCCAAGUCAUCUUCCUGUGGGGAUUUCUCGAGUGCUUCAGGCUUUGGCUUGAAUUUGGUGUUUGCUGCUCGUAGCCAGCCCUCAGUGUGUUGUGACCCCGGGGAUGAUCAGAGCGCUGGCAGGGCUGGAGCUGGUGGCAUAGUCAUCUCUUUUUUUAACAAAGGAGCCAAGCAGGGUUGGGUUUAGCUAAUGUCUUGUUGUGAGGAGCUCCCCAAUUCAGGAGCAAUGGGCUUCAAAGCAGAGAAACUUCUUGAGAUACACAAGAGCAAAAAAAGACACUUGCCCUUUUGCCAUGGGAACAAGCUUAGCUGCCCCAAGCUGGAGACCUGGAGAGAGAAACCAGUGGCUGAGUUUGGAGUCAUGAACAAAACUGAAUCAUUUCCCUGCCCUUUCCAGAGGUGGGAGUUCCCACAUCCAACAUCUUGGUCAGUCUCCUCUAGCCAUGCUUACCAAAUGGAAGAGCCUGUGCUGCUCCCCAGGCAGGUGUAGUUGCCUGGGAGCUCCUGAGGAGUAUGAAGAGAGGUGACUGGCUGUAGUAGAAGUGUAGGGCCCGUUUGGGAUUGUGUUGGCAGCAGUCAGAGAGGUUCCUCUACCAUUUCUAGACCUGCUUGGAAACCUUGGGACUGAAAGGAUGUGAGCUCAGAUGCCGUGCCUGGCUGGGAAGAAACUGGUUGCCUACUGCUGAGGGACAGCAUUGUUUUAAGGCGAGGGCCCAGUAGUCUCCUGGUCUGUGGUGUGACAUGUCUCCUGAAGACCCACCAACCUGUGCUGAUCUAGACCAUUAGCUUCAUCAUUUCGUAUGGAAGCAUACAUGGAUUUUUUAAAACCACUUCAAGGCCAUUUUAAAACUCUUUUGGCAUCUAGCAGAGAGGCAAAGGAGGGACAAAAGCAGCCAUGGUAAAGGGAAGGAAAGCCAGCAACUGGUUAAAUGGUAAAGGGAUGGGAAGCCAGGAGGGGACCAUCCUGCCAGGAGGACAUUAGCACAAGGCUACAUUAGGAGAGCAGCAUUGCUCCCUGUGGUUACCAACUAUCAGAUCCGCCCCGGGGUGGAGCAUGACUCACUGCUUUUUAGGGAGCUAUUUCCAUCUGAAAAAACGGCUCCUAUCUUUUCUAGAGCCUCUUCCCUGCCUUGGGUGAGGAGAGAAAGAAAAAAGUGAAGGGCUACUUUUUCCUAGCCGAGGAGAACCAAACAAACUUUCCCUCAAGUAGCUGAGUGAGCAAAUCAGUGCCUCACAUAUUCCCAAGAAUAAUACAAUCAAGUAGUUGAGGGGAAAAAAAAAAUAAUAAAAUAGCGUUGCUUUUCCCAGUUCAGCACUCUGAAUAAUGAGCCUACAAGCCAGAGGGAGAGCUCCCAGGAGAGGCGCCUGUGUACAGGAGAUGGACACAACAAGUGUCUCGGAUGGGCCAAUAUCUGAAGCGAUCUCUCUCUAAUUUUCUACAUCAGUGAGAACACAGUGCGGUGCCAUCAAUCAUAGUCAGCCUCCCCUCAGAAAGCCACCUCCUGCGUCGCUGUACUGCAGUGUCCCCCCUCUGCUUCUGCCCCUGGCUGGGGACUGCAGGUGUCCCGGCCAGCAGUGCCUGCAGGCACGUUCUCUCCCGGGGCGGGCGGGGGGGGCGGGAAGGGGUUUCUUCUUUGUCACGUUUGAGCCUGCUUGUGUUUCUGCUUUUCUCCUUCCUCCACCCCUGGCGUCUGUUCCUCACCAGUGCUUUAUUUCAGACUGCUUCUCCGCUUCCUGGAGUCAGAAAAGGCCAAAUACUCCUUUUAUCCCUGAUGAGGAGAAGGUGUGGAGCUGCCUGUCCUGGGCUGAAACCCCUGCACGCUGCCUGAAGGAGAGAUGGGAGUGGUUUUGGUGCCUGUACUGCUCAACUGGGGAUGGGGAGGUUGGACUUUACAGCUCCCAUGAGGCUGCUUCUGCAGUAGUGGCCACCAGGGCAUGUUCUGGGAAUUGCUGGUGCCUGAGCUGGCUCCUUUGCCCCAACCGCAGCUCUGGGCAUGGAGCAGCUAAGGGAGCCAUCUUUCAUGCUGGACUGGUGGUGCGAUGCAGCAGCUCUUGGUCUCUUGGCUUCUCCAUUUGUGAAGUGCUCUGCUCCUUCCAGGCCUGGCCAUGUUUCCACCAGAGCCAAGGGCACCUCUUUGGCAGGAGCACUGGUGGUGGGUGUCUUCCUGAGAAGGCCCAGGCCAGACACAUGCCUAAGCUGGCCAGAAGCAUGAUGGGACACGGAUCUGUGCUCAGGGCUGUGUCUUCUGCUGGGGCGUGGACACAGCUGGUGGGUUUGAUGGCUCUUGCUUCUUCAUCUUUCUUAUGUGCUAGAUUGAGUGCUCUUGCUCAAUUGCAGUGGCUCUUGGACCUGCCAAAACCUGGCUAACUGAUGCCAGCUGUCAUGACACAAAAGUAGUUUGCAGUCCCAUUUCUGGCUCCAUGGGCUCAAACAGCAGCUAGAACCAAGGACCGUGCUGCUUUCUUGAGCACAGCCCUAGACAGAAGCAUCUUCUGAAUAAACCUGUGCAAUUGCCACCUGCCUCUCAGCCUCUUACACUGCUUUCUGAGAACUGCCAAGGAUCCUUGACCUCUCUUUCAGGCAUGGUUUCCUGCAUGAUCAACCCUGCUCCAGUGUUGUGGAGUUAUUGCUGGCUUCUGUAAUAGCUGCUUUGUUUACUUCCCAAAUGCCUGCCCUUUCUGUAAUGAGCUAUAAUUCAUCUUGGUUUAUACAGUGCUCAGAGAUACCUGAGCAAGGAAGGUGUGCCAUUAAACCACCUUCUAGGCUACUCUCUGGACUGGGGUUGUUGAUCUCCUGGAAAUGUAAAACAGGGAGGACAAGGGGGACGAGAUUGAAAUGGGGAAUCAUUACCUAGCAGGGUAAAAGGGGCUGACUGGGUUGGAAAGUGCUGGGAGCUGACACACAGGUGCAGAUGAAUGGCUAUGGCAGGCAGGUAGGGUGGAGAGAUGAAAGAUGUUUUUUUAAAGCAUCUGCUUUCCUCUCUUCCUCUGCUUUAUAACCUGUUUUUAUAGAGACUGCAUGAGGAACACAUUUUUUUAUUAGCAGCUUGGGAGUGGAGAGUAAUAAAGAUUAAUUUUUUAAAUAA